GAGCCAUUGACAGGUUUGAGGAUGGUUCCCUGAGGACAAACCCUCAGGAUGAUUAUUCAAGAUUAUGGUAAAGACAAAAGACAACGCUGCCUCAUAUUUAAGGCAGUCUAAUUUAUUUUUUUUUGACAAAUGUUAACCCGCAAAGCGUCUGUUUUUUUAACAACCUGAACAUGGAGUUCAACUUAUUGGGAUCAUAACAUGAGAAACCCAUGCAUUUCCACACUAUUUUAAACCCUCCAAAGUGAACUCUGGAAAGCAGUUCUUUCACUGGUUCCUCCUUAUCAGACUGCUGAGGAGCCAAGGACCAUGAACAGAAAACAAUCCAGAGAAAAUAUCAGCACUAGUGAGAGAAUGGAGACGAAGGUCCACCAGUCACACUGUUUGACAGACAAAUAUGAUAAUAUACUAAUAUGUUUUUCUCUCUUGAGUGUUUGUUUUGUUAUAAAGUCCUGUACAGGCACUCGCCGCUCCGAUCCUCAGCCCCGAUCCUCACGGCCAGCUGCACUGCACCAGCCGACCGGGAGGGAAGCUCUGUCAGCGGCGGGAAGUACAGACACACACACACACACACACACACACACCACACACACACACGCACACAGGAUGACGAAACUCAGAUUUUAGCGAGAAAAUAGUUUUUCUAUGAUGAUGACAUGUGUGGCGAUUCUCUGGGUCCGUGUACCUCUCGGCCAUUCGAUUUUCGUUUUAUUUUGGGAAAUCCAAAAUCUGGAAACAAGCCCACUUCCGUUUCCCGAUUUGAUUAUGGGAAACAAAAUCCGUUUCCCGUUUCUCGUUGGAAACGAAAACGAGCCUUAUCAUCUGAUUCUAAUUAUGCGUUUAUCAAACUAAAGUCGGAAAUAAAAUAUGGCCAAUUCUUUUUCUCAAGCUUGCUUUGACGGAAACCCGGAAGACGUUCUUCUUCGUUUGAAAAGUCAGAGUAUUGAGUGUGUGCUGCCCCCUUCUGCCUGUCUGUCUGUAAGCUUCAAACGCUGAGCCCGCCACGUGAUCGACAUCAAUAUUAUGUCUAUAGCAACCCAGCUGCCCCCCCACCCUCCACACGGCCUCUUUCGCCAUCUCUCUGUCUGAGAACAUUACAACGUGACGGAGUCCUAUGUGUUAUUUCGUGGAGGGAGGAGAGUCACUCUUAGAGGGGAAGACAUGACGGUGGACAAAGUCUGCAGGAUUUUUCAGGUUAGUGCUGGCAGUGUCUUCAUCACUGACGACACAAACACCGCCAUUUUCCCUGACCUCUCAGGGAAUUUUCCCCCAAUGAACCUCACGAACCGUGGCCAUUAUGAGGUCCACGGAGACCAGGGGCCAAGCAUGACCCCAGUCAACAGGGCCCCUGUCCCCUUCUCCAUGCCCUCGCCGUCUGUCCCCUCAGUGGGCUCAAGAGCACCGGGAUUGGGGACAUCAAGACCCGUUGGCUUUUCUAGACCACUGCAGAGGUCAAUCCAUAUCGGUGAGGCUGUCAAUGGGAGGUUGGCAACCUCCAGAACAGUGGUCAUACGCUUCUCUGAAGCAGAGGCCACUGUUGAGGGGAUUGGCUCCAAAGUCAGAGACGCUCUGGAGAGUGAGGAGGACAUUACUCUGACUGACAGUCAGGGUAAUGAAAUCAUAGAUUCCGAGGGAACAAGAAGUAAGUUGGGUUUUUUUUCUCAGGCAUGAGAGGUUAUCUGGGACUCUUUGGUACGUAUCACACAUCCAAACUGGGAAUUAUAUAAUAGCGAUUUAUAAUUCUUUUGAGCUUUUAAAUGGAAAACUAAUACACAUUCUCUCUGAAUCUUCAGGCUCCCACUAUUGGAAGCAGAAUUCCCGGAAAGUGUUUGCCUUGUUCGACAGUGAAUUCCGAGAAUUCCAGAGUGGACGGCGGGCCAGAACAAGUCGAAGGGCUCCAGACAGCCGUCUGCAGGAUGUCAUCGACAAAAUCGAUGAGCUGAAGAAUGCUGCUGAGAGCCUUCAUGGCAUCUCAGACAACAUCAAUCAGCUAUCUGAGAUGGCCAUGAGGAAAAUUCGAGAAGCUGAUGUCCAGCCAGCAUGGAAGCUUUCUCCUGCUUGGUUUAUAAAGCUAUCAUGGAUGAGCCCAUGUUUGUGACCUGCUGUGGCUCACUGGUGGGGUGUGGAGCCUGUGUGAGGCAGUGGCUCAUAAACACAGACCACUGCCUGAAGUGCAGAACCCCAGACUUCGAGUCAAACGUCCACCAGGCGAGGGGUCUCGAUGCUGCCUUGGCCUUUUUCAAAUCAGUGAAUUAAUGUGUUUUCUCCUUUGCUCUCCUUUUCAAUGCACUUUCAUGUUUUUGGAGUUCAUAUUUUGUUAUUGUACAUAGUUUAUCUCAUUGUUGCAAUUAAUUGUUGAAUGUUUCUAAUGCCAUUAUUUGCAGUGUUAUGGAAUACAUGU